rnacentral:rRNA from 1 species
UACGAAGGGGGCUAGCGUUGCUCGGAAUCACUGGGCGUAAAGGGUGCGUAGGCGGGUUUUUAAGUCAGAGGUGAAAUCCUGGAGCUCAACUCCAGAACUGCCUUUGAUACUGAGAAUCUUGAGUUCGGGAGAGGUGAGUGGAACUGCGAGUGUAGAGGUGAAAUUCGUAGAUAUUCGCAAGAACACCAGUGGCGAAGGCGGCUCACUGGCCCGGUACUGACGCUGAGGUGCGAAAGCGUGGGGAGCAAACAGG